rnacentral:rRNA from 1 species
GACGAACGCUGGCGGCGUGCUUAACACAUGCAAGUCGAACGGUGAAGCGCCUUCCUUUUUGGUGGGUGUGGAUGAGUGGCGAACGGGUGAGUAACACGUGAGUAACCUGCCCCCUUCUUCUGGAUAACCGCAUGAAAGUGUGGCUAAUACGGGAUAUUCUGGGUCUGUCGCAUGAUGGGUCUGGGAAAGAUAUUGUUUCGGUGGGGGAUGGGCUCGCGGCCUAUCAGCUUGUUGGUGGGGUGAUGGCCUACCAAGGCGGUGACGGGUAGCCGGCCUGAGAGGGUGGACGGUCACACUGGGACUGAGACACGGCCCAGACUCCUACGGGAGGCAGCAGUGGGGAAUAUUGCACAAUGGGCGCAAGCCUGAUGCAGCGACGCCGCGUGAGGGAUGGAGGCCUUCGGGUUGUGAACCUCUUUCGCUAGUGAAGCAGGCCUGCCUCGUUUGUGGGUGGGUUGACGGUAGCUGGAUAAGAAGCGCCGGCUAACUACGUG